rnacentral:rRNA from 1 species
AUUGAACGCUGGCGGCAGGCCUAACACAUGCAAGUCGAGCGGAUGAAGGGAGCUUGCUCCUGGAUUCAGCGGCGGACGGGUGAGUAAUGCCUAGGAAUCUGCCUGGUAGUGGGGGAUAACGUCCGGAAACGGGCGCUAAUACCGCAUACGUCCUGAGGGAGAAAGUGGGGGAUCUUCGGACCUCACGCUAUCAGAUGAGCCUAGGUCGGAUUAGCUAGUUGGUGGGGUAAAGGCCUACCAAGGCGACGAUCCGUAACUGGUCUGAGAGGAUGAUCAGUCACACUGGACCUGAGACACGGCCCAGCCUCCUAGGGGGGGAGGCAGGGGGGAUUUUUGGACAAUGGGCGAAAGCUUGACCCAGCCUUGCCGGGUGUGUGAAGAAGGUCUUCGAAUUUUAAACCAUUUUAAGUGGGGAGGAAGGGCAGUAAGUUAAUCCCUUGUUGUUUUGACGUUCCCAAAAAAAAAAGCCCCGGCUAACUUCGUG